rnacentral:rRNA from 1 species
CAGUCGCCACGGUAAUACGAAGGGUGCAAGCGUUAAUCGGAAUUACUGGGCGUAAAGCGUGCGUAGGCGGUGAGUUAAGUCUGCUGUGAAAUCCCCGGGCUCAACCUGGGAAUGGCAGUGGAUACUGGCUCGCUAGAGUGUGUCAGAGGAUGGUGGAAUUCCCGGUGUAGCGGUGAAAUGCGUAGAGAUCGGGAGGAACAUCAGUGGCGAAGGCGGCCAUCUGGGUCAACACUGACGCUGAAGCACGAAAGCGUGGGGAGCAAACAGGAUUAGAGACCCCGGUAGUCCCUGUCUCUUAUAC